rnacentral:tRNA from 1 species
GGUUCCAUUGUGUAGCAGCACGUCUGCUUUACACACAGCAGGUCCUGGGUUCACACCCCAGUGGAGCCA